rnacentral:rRNA from 1 species
UACAGAGGUCCCAAGCGUUGUUCGGAUUCACUGGGCGUAAAGGGUGCGUAGGUGGUGAGGUAAGUCCGAUGUGAAAGCUCCGAGCUCAACUCGGAAAUUGCAUUAGAAACUACCUUGCUGGAGGGUUGGAGGGGGGACUGGAAUUCUCGGUGUAGCAGUGAAAUGCGUAGAUAUCGAGAGGAACACCAGUGGCGAAGGCGAGUCCCUGGACAACUCCUGACACUGAGGCACGAAAGCUAGGGGAGCAAACAGG